UUCCGUAGGUGAACCUGCGGAGGGAUCAUUACCGAGUUUACAACUCCCAAACCCAAUGUGAACCAUACCAAACUGUUGCCUCGGCGGGGUCACGCCCCGGGUGCGUCGCAGCCCCGGAACCAGGCGCCCGCCGGAGGGACCAACCAAACUCUUUCUGUAGUCCCCUCGCGGACGUUAUUUCUUACAGCUCUGAGCAAAAAUUCAAAAUGAAUCAAAACUUUCAACAACGGAUCUCUUGGUUCUGGCAUCGAUGAAGAACGCAGCGAAAUGCGAUAAGUAAUGUGAAUUGCAGAAUUCAGUGAAUCAUCGAAUCUUUGAACGCACAUUGCGCCCGCCAGUAUUCUGGCGGGCAUGCCUGUCCGAGCGUCAUUUCAACCCUCGAACCCCUCCGGGGGUCCGGCGUUGGGGAUCGGGAACCCCUAAGACGGGAUCCCGGCCCCGAAAUACAGUGGCGGUCUCGCCGCAGCCUCUCCUGCGCAGUAGUUUGCACAACUCGCACCGGGAGCGCGGCGCGUCCACGUCCGUAAAACACCCAACUUCUGAAAUGUUGACCUCGGAUCAGGUAGGAAUACCC
rnacentral:rRNA from 1 species